UACGUAGGGUCCGAGCGUUGUCCGGAAUUAUUGGGCGUAAAGAGCUCGUAGGCGGUCUGUCGCGUCGGCUGUGAAAACCUGGGGGCUCAACUCCAGGCCUGCAGUCGAUACGGGCAGACUAGAGUUCGGUAGGGGAGACGUGGAAUUCCUGGUGUAGCGGUGAAAUGCGCAGAUAUCAGGAGGAACACCGGUGGCGAAGGCGGGUCUCUGGGCCGAAACUGACGCUGAGGAGCGAAAGCGUGGGGAGCGAACAGG
rnacentral:rRNA from 1 species